rnacentral:rRNA from 1 species
AUUGAACGCUGGCGGCAGGCCUAACACAUGCAAGUCGAGCGGGGUUUUCGGACCUAGCGGCGGACGGGUGAGUAAUGCGUAGGAAGCUACCCGAUAGAGGGGGAUACCAGUUGGAAACGACUGUUAAUACCGCAUAAUGUCUACGGACCAAAGUGUGGGACCUUCGGGCCACAUGCUAUCGGAUGCGCCUACGUGGGAUUAGCUAGUUGGUGGGGUAAUGGCUCACCAAGGCGACGAUCCCUAGCUGGUUUGAGAGGAUGAUCAGCCACACUGGAACUGAGACACGGUCCAGACUCCUACGGGAAGCAGCAGUGGGGAAUAUUGGACAAUGGGCGCAAGCCUGAUCCAGCCAUGCCGCGUGUGUGAAGAAGGCCUUCGGGUUGUAAAGCACUUUCAGUAGGGAGGAAGAGUUGAGUGUUAAUAGUACUCAGCUUUGACGUUACCUACAGAAGAAGCACCGGCUAACUCUGUGCCAGCCGCCGCAGUAAGAC